rnacentral:rRNA from 1 species
AUAGGGGAGCCGCAGGGAAACCGAGUCUUAACCGGGCGUUAAGUUGCAGGGUAUAGACCCGAAACCCGGUGAUCUAGCCAUGGGCAGGUUGAAGGUUGGGUAACACUAACUGGAGGACCGAACCGACUAAUGUUGAAAAAUUAGCGGAUGACCUGUGGCUGGGGGUGAAAGGCCAAUCAAACCGGGAGAUAGCUGGUUCUCCCCGAAAGCUAUUUAGGUAGCGCCUCGUGAACUCAUCUUCGGGGGUAGAGCACUGUUUCGGCUAGGGGGUCAUCCCGACUUACCAACCCGAUGCAAACUGCGAAUACCGGAGAAUGUUAUCACGGGAGACACACGGCGGGUGCUAACGUCCGUCGUGAAGAGGGAAACAACCCAGACCGCCAGCUAAGGUCCCAAAGUCAUGGUUAAGUGGGAAACGAUGUGGGAAGGCCCAGACAGCCAGGAUGUUGGCUUAGAAGCAGCCAUCAUUUAAAGAAAGCGUAAUAGCUCACUGGUCGAGUCGGCCUGCGCGGAAGAUGUAACGGGGCUAAACCAUGCACCGAAGCUGCGGCAGCGACGCUUAUGCGUUGUUGGGUAGGGGAGCGUUCUGUAAGCCGUUGAAGGUGGCCUGUGAGGGUUGCUGGAGGUAUCAGAAGUGCGAAUGCUGACAUAAGUAACGAUAAAGCGGGUGAAAAGCCCGCUCGCCGGAAGACCAAGGGUUCCUGUCCAACGUUAAUCGGGGCAGGGUGAGUCGACCCCUAAGGCGAGGCCGAAAGGCGUAGUCGAUGGGAAACAGGUUAAUAUUCCUGUACUCGGUGUUACUGCGAAGGGGGGACGGAGAAGGCUAUGUUGGCCGGGCGACGGUUGUCCCGGUUUAAGCAUGUAGGCGGGUGUUCCAGGUAAAUCCGGAACGCUGUUAACGCUGAGGUGUGAUGACGAGGCACUACGGUGCUGAAGCAACAAAUGCCCUGCUUCCAGGAAAAGCCUCUAAGCAUCAGGUAACAUCAAAUCGUACCCCAAACCGACACAGGUGGUCAGGUAGAGAAUACCAAGGCGCUUGAGAGAACUCGGGUGAAGGAACUAGGCAAAAUGGUGCCGUAACUUCGGGAGAAGGCACGCUGAUGGUAGGUGAAGUGAUUUACUCAUGGAGCUGAAAUCAGUCGAAGAUACCA